UUUUACGCUAUCUGUACAAUAUGUUCUUUUUCCUGUUCUGUUUCCGCUUCACUACACGCAAACAUUUACAUCGCAAGGACAAGAAAGAAACAUUCCCAAAAAAAGAUGUUAAUUAUCAAACUGUGUUGGAUUGUCCUGAGGGUGAUCGCCAUCAAUGCAGCACAGAUCCUGCAAGAAUGUGAACGCAAAUAUAUGAAUGAUUAUACUAAAAACAAUUCUGGAGAAUUGCUGUCAAACUAGAAAGAACAGCACUGAAUUCAGAGCACUUUUAUCGAGAUCUUUGACUGCACAUGAUAAAUUAUCAUGAAAAUGUAUAGGAAUGUAAAURCAAUAUAGAAAUGCUAAUGAGCAUGUGUUAAUGGGCUUGAUUUAUAUGCGGGAUGAAUCUAUCUAAGAAUCGAGAAGUCUCAGGAUGCACGAUACUCCAUUUUAGAGUUCCAGGCGCCAUCUUGAAAGGUAACCAAGCCUUUGCUUCAAAUUGAGACAGGAGUUGAGCCUGCAGUGAUAGAUACCUUUUAUUCACAACAUAGUCAAUCAUUCACAGGCAUCUCAAUCAUUGCAACUUUUGUCUCGCUUUGAUGCAAAGGCUCGGCUACCUUUCAAGAUGGCGCAUGGAACUGUAAAAGGAGUAUUUGGUAUGGUCCACCCCAACGCAAAGUCUUUCAGGGAGCUGCCGACUGUCAGAUAACUGAUCGUAGACUACACGCCGUAUGAUAAUUCUUCCUACUGUUCAAAUUCGCUGAUAUUCGCAAAUAAAUGCUUCMACAACACGACUCUCUUUUGAUGGGCUAUGAACUAGUUCCUGAGAUAAAUGUUAGAAAAUAUGGCUGAACAAAAAAAAUAUAUUUAUAUAGAAUAAAAUUGGUGUYUUUUUUUUCUUA